GGUAGCGUGGCCGUGCGGUCUAAGGCGCUGAAUUAAGGCUCUAGUCUCUUUGGGGGUAUGGGUUCAAAUCCCGCCGCUGCCA
rnacentral:tRNA from 1 species